UUUCCAGACUCCUACGGGAGGCAGCAGUGGGGAAUAUUGCACAAUGGGGGGAACCCUGAUGCAGCGACGCCGCGUGAGUGAAGAAGUCUUUCGGUAUGUAAAGCUCUGUCAGCAGGGAAGAAGAAAGACGGUACCUGACCAAGAAGCCCCGGCUAACUACGUGCCAGCAGCCGCGGUAAUACGUAGGGGGCAAGCGUUAUCCGGAUUUACUGGGUGUAAAGGGAGCGUAGACGGCAGGGCAAGUCUGGAGUGAAAAGCAGGGGCCCAACCCCUGGACUGCUCUGGAAACUGUCCGGCUGGAGUGCAGGAGAGGUAAGUGGAAUUCCUAGUGUAGCGGUGAAAUGCGUAGAUAUUAGGAGGAACACCAGUGGCGAAGGCGGCUUACUGGACUGUAACUGACGUUGAGGCUCGAAAGCGUGGGGAGCAAACAGGAUUAGAUACCCCAGUAU
rnacentral:rRNA from 1 species